rnacentral:lncRNA from 11 species
GGUCCAGGAAAGCAAGCAAGCAAGCGCAUGCGAGGAAAGGGGCGCCGGCUUCCUCGCUGCCAGCCUGGCGCAAAUGGCUGUGGGAGGGCCGGGGAAGAAGAAGAGGAGGAGGAGGCGGCAGAAGCAGCAGCAGCAGAAGAGGGUGAAGUGAAGCCAAGCCGCGCGGAGGGGACUUCGUGGGCUGGCCACUGGCGAGGAAGAAGAAGAAGAAGAGGAGGAGGAGGAAUAGGCGGAGAGGGCUUUGAGCGAGGAGCACAGAAGAAGAAGACGCCAAGCAGGCAGCUCCGCCGCAUCAGGUCGCUGCGUCUUUUGUCGGCAGAAGAAGCCUCCGCCGUGGGACGGCUCCACGGGAUCGUCUACCCGAGCUGAGGCCAGCCUGUAUGGGGAUCAUCAGCACCAACCAUUGAAGGAUCAGCGGUAAGACCUAGGAUAUGCUUGCCAGAUGUCAUUCUGCAUUUUCAGGGAAAGAGAAAGGAAAGACAUGUGGAAAAAGAAAUGUUUCAGAAGGAGAUAGUGUGCUUCAUUGCAUGGUCCAGCU